CGGAGGAAAAGAAACCAACAGGGAUUGCCUUAGUAGCGGCGAGUGAAGCGGCAAAAGCUCAAAUUUGAAAUCUGGCACUUUCAGUGUCCGAGUUGUAAUUUGAAGAAGGUAUCUUUGGGUCUGGCUCUUGUCUAUGUUUCUUGGAACAGAACGUCACAGAGGGUGAGAAUCCCGUGCGAUGAGAUGACCCAGACCUAUGUAAAGUUCCUUCGAAGAGUCGAGUUGUUUGGGAAUGCAGCUCUAAGUGGGUGGUAAAUUCCAUCUAAAGCUAAAUAUUGGCGAGAGACCGAUAGCGAACAAGUACAGUGAUGGAAAGAUGAAAAGAACUUUGAAAAGAGAGUGAAAAAGUACGUGAAAUUGUUGAAAGGGAAGGGCUUGAGAUCAGACUUGGUAUUUUGUAUGUUACUCUCUCGGGGGUGGCCUCUACAGUUUACCGGGCCAGCAUCAGUUUGGGCGGUAGGACAAUUGCAAAGAAAUGUGGCACUGCCUCGGUAGUGUGUUAUAGUCUUUGUCGAUACUGCCAGCCUAGACUGAGGACUGCGGC
rnacentral:rRNA from 1 species